rnacentral:rRNA from 1 species
UUAAGUUAUUAAGGGCGCACGGUGGAUGCCUUGGCACUAGAAGCCGAUGAAGGACGUUACUAACGACGAUAUGCUUUGGGGAGCUGUAAGUAAGCUGUGAUCCAGAGAUUUCCGAAUGGGGAAACCCAGCACGAGUUAUGUCGUGUUAUCGACAUGUGAAUAUAUAUCAUGUCUGAAGGCAUACCCGGAGAACUGAAACAUCUUAGUACCCGGAGGAAGAGAAAGAAAAAUCGAUUCCCUGAGUAGCGGCGAGCGAAACGGGAAGAGCCCAAACCAAUAAGCUUGCUUAUUGGGGUUGUAGGACACUCUAUACGGAGUUACAAAUGUAUAAAUUAGACGAAUUAUCUGGAAAGAUAAAUCAAAGAAGGUAAUAAUCCUGUAGUCGAAAAUUUAUACACUCUUGAGUGGAUCCUGAGUACGACGGAGCACGUGGAAUUCCGUCGGAAUCCGGGAGGACCAUCUCCCAAGGCUAAAUACUCUCUAGUGACCGAUAGUGAACCAGUACCGUGAGGGAAAGGUGAAAAGUACCCCGGAAGGGGAGUGAAAGAGAACUUGAAACCGUGUGCUUACAAGUAGUCAGAGCCCGUUAAUGGGUGAUGGCGUGCCUUUUGUAGAAUGAACCGGCGAGUUACGAUCUGAUGCAAGG